GACGAACGCUGGCGGCGUGGAUUAGGCAUGCAAGUCGGACGGUAGGGCUUUAUCGUAAGAUGGAGUUUGAGAGUGGCGAACGGGUGAGUAACACGUAGGAAUCUACCCUUAAGACGGGGACAACCCAGGGAAACUUGGGCUAAUACCGGAUGAGAGUGCGAGAGAUUGCAUUUAAAAGGAUGGCGAAAGUUGUCGCUUAGGGAUGAGCCUGCGGUCUAUUAGUUAGUUGGUGAGGUAAGAGCUCACCAAGGCGAUGAUAGAUAGGCGGCCUUAACGGGUGGUCGCCCACACUGGGAUUGAGAUACGGCCCAGACUCCUACGGGGGGCAGCAGUGGGGGAUCUUGCACAAUGGGCGAAAGCCUGAUGCAGCGACGCCGCGUGAGCGAAGAAGGCCUUCGGGUUGUAAAGCUCUGUCUGGAGGGACGGAACAAAAUAGACGGUACCUCCGGAGGAAGCCACGGCUAACUACGUG
rnacentral:rRNA from 1 species